UGGGGAAUAUUGCACAAUGGGGGAAACCCUGAUGCAGCAACGCCGCGUGAAGGAAGACGGUUUUCGGAUUGUAAACUUCUGUUCUUAGUGAAGAAAAAUGACGGUAGCUAAGGAGCAAGCCACGGCUAACUACGUGCCAGCAGCCGCGGUAAUACGUAGGUGGCAAGCGUUGUCCGGAAUUACUGGGUGUAAAGGGAGCGUAGGCGGGAAGCCAAGUCAGCUGUGAAAACUACAGGCUUAACCUGUAGACUGCAGUUGAAACUGGUUUUCUUGAGUGAAGUAGAGGUUGGCGGAAUUCCGAGUGUAGCGGUGAAAUGCGUAGAUAUUCGGAGGAACACCGGUGGCGAAGGCGGCCAACUGGGCUUUAACUGACGCUGAGGCUCGAAAGUGUGGGGAGCAAACAGGAUUAGAUACCCUGGUAGU
rnacentral:rRNA from 1 species